UAGUCUGGUGCCAGCAGCCGCGGUAAUUCCAGCUCCAAUAGCGUAUAUUUAAGUUGUUGCAGUUAAAAAGCUCGUAGUUGGAUUUCGGGUAGGGGGCGCCGGUCCGCUUCGGUGUGCACUGGCGGCCCAUACCUUCUUGUCGGGGAUGCGCUCUGGUAUUGGUUUAUCGGACGCAGAGUCGGCGCUGUUACUUUGAAAAAAUUAGAGUGUUCAAAGCAGGCUUUCGCUUGAAUACAUUAGCAUGGAAUAACAUGAUAGGACUCCGGUUCCAUUGUGUUGGUCUUCGGGACUGGAGUAAUGAUUAAGAGGGACAGUUGGGGGCAUUCGUAUUUCAUUGUCAGAGGUGAAAUUCUUGGAUUUAUGAAAGACGAACUUCUGCGAAAGCAUUUGCCAAGGAUGUUUUCAUUAAUCAAGAACGAAAGUUGGGGGCUCGAAGAUGAUUAGAUACCAUCGUAGUCUCAACCAUAAACGAUGCCGACUAGGGAUUGGCGGAUGUUACUUGAUGACUUCGCCAGCACCUUGUGAGAAAUCAAAGUCUUUGGGUUCCGGGGGGAGUAUGGUCGCAAGGCUGAAACUUAAAGGAAUUGACGGAAGGGCACUACCAGGAGUGGAGCCUGCGGCUUAAUUUGACUCAACACGGGGAAACUUACCAGGUCCAGACACAGUGAUGAUUGACAGAUUGAGAGCUCUUUCUUGAUUCUGUGGGUGGUGGUGCAUGGCCGUUCUU
rnacentral:rRNA from 1 species